GACGAACGCUGGCGGCGUGCUUAACACAUGCAAGUCGAGCGGUAAGGCCCUUUCGGGGUACGACGAGCGGCGAACGGGUAGGAGUAACACGUGGGUGGACCUCGCCCUCCAGCUCUGGGAGUAAGACCUACGGAAACUAGGGUCGUAAUAACUGGAUAUGACUCCAUGACGCAUGUUGUGGGGUGGAAAGCCUUGUGCGGCUGAGGAUGGGCCCGCGGCCUAUCAGCUUGUUGGUGGGGUGGAUGGCCUACCAAGGCGACGACGGGUAGCCGGCCUGAGAGGGCGACCGG
rnacentral:rRNA from 1 species